rnacentral:tRNA from 1 species
GGGUCUGUACCGAAGCGGUCAAACGGGGCUGACUGUAAAUCAGCUGGCUUAGCCUUCGGGGGUUCGAAUCCCUCCGGGCCCA